rnacentral:rRNA from 1 species
GUGGGGAAUCUUGCGCAAUGGGCGAAAGCCUGACGCAGCCAUGCCGCGUGAAUGAUGAAGGUCUUAGGAUUGUAAAAUUCUUUCACCGGGGACGAUAAUGACGGUACCCGGAGAAGAAGCUCCGGCUAACUUCGUGCCAGCAGCCGCGGUAAUACGAAGGGGGCUAGCGUUGCUCGGAAUUACUGGGCGUAAAGGGCGCGUAGGCGGACAGCUUAGUCAGAGGUGAAAGCCCAGGGCUCAACCUUGGAAUUGCCUUUGAUACUGGCUGUCUUGAGUUUGGGAGAGGUGAGGGGAACUCCGAGUGUAGAGGUGAAAUUCGUAGAUAUUCGGAAGAACACCAGUGGCGAAGGCGACUCACUGGCCCAAUACUGACGCUGAGGCGCGAAAGCGUGGGGAGCAAACAGGAUUAGAUACCCGGGUAGUCC